AGAAACUUAGGAUAGCCAAACCGAAGGCCUUCAAAGCCUUAGACAAGAGUUAAACCCUCUUAGUUUCUG
rnacentral:tRNA from 1 species